rnacentral:tRNA from 2 species
CCCGCCAUCGGCUAGCGGUGAGGCCACCGGCCCUUCAAGCCGGCGACAGGAGUUCAAAUCUCCUUGGCGGGACCA